UGCAGUCGAACGAUGACUUCUGUGCUUGCACAGAAUGAUUAGUGGCGAACGGGUGAGUAACACGUGAGUAACCUGCCCUUGACUUCGGGAUAAGCCUGGGAAACCGGGUCUAAUACCGGAUACGACCUCCUGGCGCAUGCCAUGGGGGUGGAAAGCUUUAUGCGGUUUUGGAUGGACUCGCGGCCUAUCAGCUUGUUGGUUGGGGUAAUGGCCCACCAAGGCGACGACGGGUAGCCGGCCUGAGAGGGUGACCGGCCACACUGGGACUGAGACACGGCCCAGACUCCUACGGGAGGCAGCAGUGGGGAAUAUUGCACAAUGGGCGGAAGCCUGAUGCAGCGACGCCGCGUGAGGGAUGACGGCCUUCGGGUUGUAAACCUCUUUCAGCAGGGAAGAAGCGAAAGUGACGGUACCUGCAGAAGAAGCGCCGGCUAACUACGUGCCAGCAGCCGCGGUAAUACGUAGGGCGCAAGCGUUAUCCGGAAUUAUUGGGCGUAAAGAGCUCGUAGGCGGUUUGUCGCGUCUGCUGUGAAAGCCCGGGGCUCAACCCCGGGUCUGCAGUGGGUACGGGCAGACUAGAGUGAUGUAGGGGAGACUGGAAUUCCUGGUGUAGCGGUGAAAUGCGCAGAUAUCAGGAGGAACACCGAUGGCGAAGGCAGGUCUCUGGGCAUUAACUGACGCUGAGGAGCGAAAGCAUGGGGAGCGAACAGGAUUAGAUACCCUGGUAGUCCAUGCCGUAAACGUUGGGCACUAGGUGUGGGGGGACAUUCCACGUUUUCCCGCGCCGUAGCUAACGCAUUAAAGUGGCCCCGCCUGGGGGAGUACGGGCCGCAAAGGCUAAAAACUCCAAAGGAAUUUGACGGGGGGCCCCGCACAAAGCGGGCGGGAGCAUGGCGGGAUUAAAUU
rnacentral:rRNA from 1 species